UUGGGCGUAAAGAGCUUGUAGGCGGUUUGUCGCGUCUGCUGUGAAAGGCCGGAGCUUAACUCCGUGUAUUGCAGUGGGUACGGGCAGACUAGAGUGCAGUAGGGGAGACUGGAAUUCCUGGUGUAGCGGUGGAAUGCGCAGAUAUCAGGAGGAACACCGAUGGCGAAGGCAGGUCUCUGGGCUGUAACUGACGCUGAGAAGCGAAAGCAUGGGGAGCGAACAGGAUUAGAUACCCUGGUAGUCCAUGCCGUAAACGUUGGGCACUAGGUGUGGGGAACAUUCCACGUUUUCCGCGCCGUAGCUAACGCAUUAAGUGCCCCGCCUGGGGAGUACGGCCGCAAGGCUAAAACUCAAAGAAAUUGACGGGGGCCCGCACAAGCGGCGGAGCAUGCGGAUUAAUUCGAUGCAACGCGAAGAACCUUACCAAGGCUUGACAUAUACUGGACCGCAUCAGAGAUGGUGUUUCCCUUCGGGGCUGGUAUACAGGUGGUGCAUGGUUGUCGUCAGCUCGUGUCGUGAGAAG
rnacentral:rRNA from 1 species